rnacentral:rRNA from 1 species
GAGUGAACGCUGGCGGCGUGCUUAACACAUGCAAGUCGAACGAGAAACGUAUUUAGUUUACUAAAUAGCAGUCUAAGUGGCGCACGGGUGAGUAAUGUAUAGGUAACAUGCCUCUUACUAAGGGAUAACAGAUGGAAACGUCUGCUAAUACCUUAUAUGCCUUUAAUACGUAAGUAUGCAAGGGAAAGAUUUAUUGGUAAGAGAUUGGCCUGUAUGGUAUCAGUUAGUUGGUGAGGUAAUGGCUCACCAAGACAAUGACACCUAACUGGUUUGAGAGGAUGAUCAGUCACACUGGAACUGACACACGGUCCAGAUUCUUACGGGAGGCAGCAGUGGGGAAUAUUGCACAAUGGACGGAAGUCUGAUGCAGCAACGCCGCGUGGAGGAUGACACAUUUCGGUGCGUAAACUCCUUUUAUAGGUCAAGAUAAUGACGGUAGCCUAUGAAUAAGCGCCGGCUAACUCCGUGCCAGCAGCCGCGGUAAUACGGAGGGCGCAAGCGUUAUUCGGAAUCACUGGGCGUAAAGAGCGUGUAGGCGGACUAAUAAGUCAGAAGUAAAAUCCAAUAGCUUAACUAUUGAACUGCUUUCGAAACUGUCUGUCUAGAGUGUGGGAGAGGUAGAUGGAAUUUCUGGUGUAGGGGUAAAAUCCGUAGAUAUCAGAAGGAAUACCGAUUGCGAAGGCGAUCUUCUGGAACAUAACUGACGCUGAGACGCGAAAGCGUGGGGAGCAAACAGGAUUAGAUACCCUGGUAGUCCCAACUCCUUAACAUGAUGUACCCUAGUUUGUUGACCUUGCUAGACAAGGCCGUACAUGCACGUAACGGGAUUAAGUGUACCGCCUGGGGAGUACGGUCCCAAGAUUAAAACUCAAAGGAAUAGACGGGGACCCCGCACAAGCGGUGGAGCAUGUGGUUUAAUUAGACGAUACGCGAAGAACCUUACGUGGUCUUGACAUACUAAGAACCUUUAAGAGAUUAGAGGGUGCCUGUUUCCAG